AUUUUAAAAUUAUAUUUAGACUAACCGGUUUUUUACUAAUUUUAUAAUAAGAAAUAACUAAACAUCAGAGAUGUCUCAAUUAAAUAAUAUUCAAUCUAUUCUAUUUAUAAGUUUGUUAUUGGUAAGUAUCACAAUAUGGUCAUCCCAUAAUGUUCAAGGGGCAAACUUCGGUGCAACGACUUUUAAAAUUAAUAAUUGUACGAUGCGUACCCUAAACUUAAAUUUAACUUUGAGCCCCGGUGGAGGAUGGAGAUCUGCUAAACCUUGUAUGAAAUGUACGUGCUCAUCCAAUGGUCCUGAAAUGACUAUGGAAUGCCAAACGUGUGGAACAUUCUCGUCACCUUGUACUAAUGUUGAUGAAAAAGCUUUCUAUCCGAAUUGUUGUCCACGCCCCUGCAGAAUCACAUUAUCACAAAAUAAUAACUCUAUUUGACAUUUGUAUAAUUUCUUAUUUUUGAAUCGGAACAAAAUUUUACAAAUUCUGGCAACAAAUUAAUUAUUGUUUAAU